GGCCAGAGACAUACCAGAGUGUCAGGUUUUUUUGAGAAAACUAAGCAAGCUUUCCGUGUCUAGGCAAUGGCAAAGCAAGCAGACCCAAGCCCGGCAGAAAGGCGUCUGCAUAGCAUGUUGGAAAUGGAAGGGGCGUGUUAUCUGGUCCAACCUCCUCUCUGAAGUUAUGGGAAGAACCAUUACUUCUUUCCUGAUGCAGAAAUUAGGACCUGACUCAGUGGAUAGAAUGGUGGAAGAUAGGUAUUUCUAGAAGGCCUGGCCAUGUUGUUUGUUUGUUUUUUUUUUUUUUUUUACUGCGAAUGUGAAGAACUACAGAAUACUAUUUCACCAUUGUUGGGACUGUGAUGAAGGCACAACACUACGAAUGAGCAAACAAGAGGACAGUUGAAUUGUACCGUGAGAUCACAUCUGAGAUUAAGCCCCUGGGUUUAAUCUAGACUGUAGAAAACCAAGAUGAUAUGCACCUAAGUGAGGCAAUAAGGUGGACUUCCCUUCAAGAAAUGGAUUUCCUAAGCCUUCAACAUGAACUUCAUUCAGAAGCAAUAAAGACCCAAGUAGACUUGCCACCAUAUAGCCACUGGCUGGGCCUUGCAAGUCAUCUCAACAGGGUAGGAUUUUUGCCUUCUUUAUCCUUUCCACCUUUGAUGCUCAAAGUUGAGCAAUUUGGACUCUCCUUACUUUCCUGCAAAAGGAGUUUGGUAGCUGAACAUACAGGCAUACCAUGAAGGAAGAAAUACUGUGUGACUUACUGACCUGGUCCAAAGUGUGCUGCAGUCUCUGCAACCCACCAAACCUGAGAUGAAAGGGAACAAAACAGGCUCAUGGUGAGUAUCUCCUGCCUUGCCGCGUCCAGCUUCAACCUUCGAGUCUUCCCCAGCCAGCAAGGUGAGGAUAAUCCUUUCUAGUGCUACCAGACUUCUGCAUCUUCUUUCCAUAGUCACAUCUUCUGGAUCCACUUUCAAGGACUCUUUCAAUGUCAUUGGAUUCAUGCAAAUCCCCUUGGAUAGCUGUCUUAUUCUGAGACUAUCUACAUAACACACUGCAAUUCAUCCGUAACUUAAGUUCCAAGUGUAAGUCUGAGAUGGCUAAUCUUCAAUGUCUACUUGAUUUGGACACACCUAGAAAACAUACCUCUGGGCAUCUAUGCGAGGGCAUUUUCAGAUUUAACUGGAGACAAUAACAACUCCGGAUGUUGGCAGCAUCAUCCCAUGGGCUAUGGUCCUGGACUGAAUAAAAAGUAGAAAGUGAGCUAAACACUAGCAUUCAUCCAUCUUGCUGAUUCUUGACCCAAUGUGACUAGCUGCCUCGUAUCUCUGCCACAGCAUCUUCCCUUCCACAAGAGACUGUCUCUCCUAACAUGUGAGCCAAAGGAAACUCUUUAGAAUUUUUUUAAUCACAGCAAUGAGAAAAAUAACUAAUGUAGCAUGUAACAUAAUCAAGGUCAUAGGUUCUGGAGUUUAGCACAUGGAUAUGUCCUAAAUCAUGAAGCCAGUAUUCUGUCUACCGCAAGGCAACAUUCCAUAUUUUUUUCCAGUAAUGUGAGGUGUGUCCUAUUCUUUACUCCCAUACUGUAAGAAAUUCAAAUGCAAAAAAGCACUCACUUGUGCUACACAAAGCAAUAAGAACCAUGGUUACUCUUUAUCAACUAUUGCUGUGACAGGCAAUGUAUUCUAAAUCAUUUGCUUUUUAAAGUUGUGCUUCUCAAGCUAGGCGGGGCAGAAGAUAAUAUUGCCUUCUACAGAUGGAAGAAGUUAGAGGCUCAGAAGGCUUUAGGUCCACUCAGCUACUGAAUUCAGACUGGCUUCUCCUCAGCCAUGAACUAUAGAGCACCUCCCAUACCUCUUACCUCUAAAGUUCAGCCAUGGGGACAAACCUCCCAUAGUCUCAUUAUCUUCUCUUUUUUCAUCUAGUGAGCCCUUUAACUGGAAUCUGGAUUCAUUUCAAGCCUUUCUACUGAAGUGCAUAUUUGAAUGUGGAAAGCAGAACUGAAGAACAUUCUUGAUGAACAGUACCUAGAAUCCUACAGAUCAACAUUGGCAUUUUUCUCACAUUGACAGUCAUCUGCUCUCGGUAUACAUUGUUUUCAAAGAUGCCUUUCUUCCUAGUGUAUCCCAUGUUCUUUUACUGAGACUGCACUGUGCCUGAGUAGAAGCCAAACUGCCCAACUUCCCCCAUAGCUCCUUGCUCAAAACCAGAAAAGAAAUAAUAAGCAACAAAUGAAAUUAUUUUCUACCUGAGGUAGAAGAUGUCUUUUUCUCCAGGCAACUUUAACUUCUAUAUAUCUUCAGGGAGUGUGGGGAGGACUUAGGAGUCCCCUCUUCUCCACAAAAAAUCUGUCUAAGACAUCAGUUAGCUUAGCUCCAGUAGAGGUAGGAUAAAGCACACUCCUCAAUGCAAUAUAGUGCCUUGGACUGGUUCCUGAAAACACAUUAAUGGGAAAAAUGAUGGUGAAAUUAGAAUAAAUUCUAGAGUUCAGAAUACUGUAUCGAUGUUAGUUUUGGAAAACACACAGUGGAGAUGUAAAGGCAGACCCUUGAUAAAAGCUUGGGAGAGUGUAUGGAAAUCCACUAUACUGUCUUGGCAACUUUUCUGCAGAGUAAAAAAAUGAUUUUGUUUCCUGUGCCAUUCUCUGCUACUCCUCUGUCUAGGAAGUAGCUCAUUCUAGAGAGCCACAGAUGAUCCCAGAAGGGUAUCUGCUUGUAAUGCACCUGGAAGCAUGGACUUUUGCAAGUGCCAAUGUUGGGGGCUUGGAAAUGGCUCAGAGUGGUUGCUGUGCAAGCAUGAGAAUCUGAAUUUGAAUCUCUAGCACCUCCUUUUAAAAAGUCAGGCUUAACCACCCAUUGGGUAGAAUCCCAGCACAGUGGGAGCAGGAGAAUGGGGCUUGAUGGUUGUCAUUCUGGCUCCAGGUUUGGUGAGGGGCCCUGUCUCAGAGGAUAAAACUUCCUUUGGCUUCCAAACAGGCAUGCUUAGAUGUGCCCAUAUACCACAUAAAGUCACAUAAGCACAUACAAUGGAAAAAAAUACCCAAAGUGGCAAUUUAAAAUGCUUGGAUGUUUUAGCUACAUCUAAAGUAGCAAAGAAAGGGACCAUUGGAAUGAAAAAUAAUAAUAAAAAAUUGUUUU
ensembl:lincRNA Gm15228 predicted gene 15228